AUUGAACGCUGGCGGCAGGCCUAACACAUGCAAGUCGAGCGGAUGAAGGGAGCUUGCUCCUGGAUUCAGCGGCGGACGGGUGAGUAAUGCCUAGGAAUCUGCCUGGUAGUGGGGGAUAACGUCCGGAAACGGGCGCUAAUACCGCAUACGUCCUGAGGGAGAAAGUGGGGGAUCUUCGGACCUCACGCUAUCAGAUGAGCCUAGGUCGGAUUAGCUAGUUGGUGGGGUAAAGGCCUACCAAGGCGACGAUCCGUAACUGGUCUGAGAGGAUGAUCAGUCACACUGGCACUGAGACACGGUCCAGACUCCUACGGGGGGCAGCAGUGGGGAAUAUUGGACGAUGGGCGAAAGCCUGAUCCAGCCAUGCCGCGUGUGUGAAGAAGGUCUUCGGAUUGUAAAGCACUUUAAGUUGGGAGGAAGGGCAGUAAGUUAAUACCUUGCUGUUUUGACGUUACCAACAGAAUAAGCACCGGCUAACUUCGUG
rnacentral:rRNA from 1 species